GACGAACGCUGGCGGCGUGCUUAACACAUGCAAGUCGAACGGAAAGGCCCUGCUUUUGUGGGGUGCUCGAGUGGCGAACGGGUGAGUAACACGUGAGUAACCUGCCCUUGACUUUGGGAUAACUUCAGGAAACUGGGGCUAAUACCGGAUAGGAGCUCCUGCUGCAUGGUGGGGGUUGGAAAGUUUCGGCGGUUGGGGAUGGACUCGCGGCUUAUCAGCUUGUUGGUGGGGUAGUGGCUUACCAAGGCUUUGACGGGUAGCCGGCCUGAGAGGGUGACCGGCCACAUUGGGACUGAGAUACGGCCCAGACUCCUACGGGAGGCAGCAGUGGGGAAUAUUGCACAAUGGGCGGAAGCCUGAUGCAGCAACGCCGCGUGCGGGAUGACGGCCUUCGGGUUGUAAACCGCUUUCGCCUGUGACGAAGCGUGAGUGACGGUAAUGGGUAAAGAAGCACCGGCUAACUACGUGCCAGCAGCCGCGGUGAUACGUAGGGUGCGAGCGUUGUCCGGAUUUAUUGGGCGUAAAGGGCUCGUAGGUGGUUGAUCGCGUCGGAAGUGUAAUCUUGGGGCUUAACCCUGAGCGUGCUUUCGAUACGGGUUGACUUGAGGAAGGUAGGGGAGAAUGGAAUUCCUGGUGGAGCGGUGGAAUGCGCAGAUAUCAGGAGGAACACCAGUGGCGAAGGCGGUUCUCUGGGCCUUUCCUGACGCUGAGGAGCGAAAGCGUGGGGAGCGAACAGGCUUAGAUACCCUGGUAGUCCACGCUGUAAACGGUGGGUACUAGGUGUGGGGUCCAUUCCACGGGUUCCGUGCCGUAGCUAACGCUUUAAGUACCCCGCCUGGGGAGUACGGCCGCAAGGCUAAAACUCAAAGGAAUUGACGGGGCCCCGCACAAGCGGCGGAGCAUGCGGAUUAAUUCGAUGCAACGCGUAGAACCUUACCUGGGUUUGACAUGGAUCGGGAGCGCUCAGAGAUGGGUGUGCCUCUUUUGGGGUCGGUUCACAGGUGGUGCAUGGCUGUCGUCAGCUCGUGUCGUGAGAUGUUGGGUUAAGUCCCGCAACGAGCGCAACCCUUGUUCACUGUUGCCAGCACGUUAUGGUGGGGACUCAGUGGAGACCGCCGGGGUCAACUCGGAGGAAGGUGGGGAUGACGUCAAGUCAUCAUGCCCCUUAUGUCCAGGGCUUCACGCAUGCUACAAUGGCUGGUACAGAGAGUGGCGAGCCUGUGAGGGUGAGCGAAUCUCGGAAAGCCGGUCUCAGUUCGGAUUGGGGUCUGCAACUCGACCUCAUGAAGUCGGAGUCGCUAAUAAUCACAGAUCAGCAACGCUGCGGUGAAUACGUUCCCGGG
rnacentral:rRNA from 1 species